UUUUUUACACUUUUUUUUUAAUUUAAAGCAUUAUUUGAGUGAAAAGAAACUCAUUGCAACCAAUUGGCAUUAAAAUAAAUCAAUUUAAUUUUUUUUUGCAAAAUUUCUCAAAAAAAUGGCAAGGGGUACCCCUUAUGAAAUUUUCGAGUGGAAAAUUGUUUUGAAAUUUUUUUCUGAUUUUUUAUUCUUUUUUUAAUUUAAAGCAUUAUUUAAGUGAAAAGAAACUUAUUGCAACAAAAUUCGCACUAAAAUAUAGCAAAUUUAUAAAUUUUGCUAAAUUACUCAAAAAUGAAGAAAAUUUUACAUUUUCUCAAACAGGGUAGGGAACUUGGUUCCUCGAAUAACUUCUGGCACAGACAUCUGAGGGCAUGGCCGUCCAAGAAGAAAAUGUAGCCAUUGGUGCCAUCUAUCGACCACAGGUUAAAGAUUGGCGAUCCGUUGGAUACUGACCGAGUUAUAGGCAAAAGUUGGUGCAAAAAUGAGGAAAAUUUUACAUUUUCUCAAACAGGGUAGGGAACUUGGUUCCUCGAAUAACUUCUGGCACAGACAUCUGAGGGCAUGGCCGUCCAAGAAGAAAAUGUAGCCAUUGGUGCCAUCUAUCGACCACAGGUUAAAGAUUGGCGAUCCGUUGGAUACCGACCGAGUUAUAGGCAAAAGUUGGUGCAAAAAUGAGGAAAAUUUUACAUUUUCUCAAACAGGGUAGGGAACUUGGUUCCUCGAAUAACUUCCGACACAAACAUCUGAGGGCAUGGCCGUCCAAAAAGAAAAUGUAGCCAUUGGUGCCAUCUAUCGACCACAGGUUUAAGAUUGGCGAUCCGUUGGAUACUGACUGAGUUAUAGGCAAAAGUUGGUGCAAAAAUGAGGAAAAUUUUACAUUUUCUCAAACAGGGUAAGGAACUUGGUUCCUCGAAUAACUUCCGACACAGACAUCUGAGGGCAUGGCCGUCCAAGAAGAAAAUGUAGCCAUUGGUGCCAUCUAUCGACCACAGGUUAAAGAUUGGCGAUCCGUUGGAUACUGACCGAGUUAUGGGCAAAAGUUGAUGCAAAAAUGAGCCUUAUGAGAUAUUCAAAUUUUUAUAUUUUCUUAUUUUUUUCUGAUUUUUUACACUUUUUUAAUUUAAAGCAUUAUUUGAGUGAAAAGAAACUCAUUACAACCAAUUGGCAUUAAAAUAAAUCAAUUUAAUUUUUUUUGCAAAAUUUCUCAAAAAAAUGGCAAGGGAUACCCCUUAUGAAAUUUUCGAGUGGAAAUUUUUUUUGAAAUUUUUUUCUGAUUUUUUAUUCUUUUUUUAAUUUAAAGCAUUAUUUAAGUGAAAAGAAACUUAUUGCAACAAAAUUUGCAUUAAAAUAUAGCAUAUUUAUAAAUUUUGCUAAAUUACUCAAAAAUGAAGAAAAUUUUACAUUUUCUCAAACAGGGUAGGGAACUUGGUUCCUCGAAUAACUUCUGGCACAGACAUCUGAGGGCAAGGCCGUCCAAGAAGAAAAUGUAGCCAUUGGUGCCAUCUAUCGACCACAGGUUAAAGAUUGGCGAUUCGUUGGAUACUGACCGAGUUAUAGGCAAAAUUUGGAGCAAAAAUGAGGAAAAUUUUACAUUUUCUCAAACAGGGUAAGGAACUUGGUUCCUCGAAUAACUUCCGACACAGACAUGUGAGGGCAUGGCCGUCCAAGAAGAAAAUGUAGCCAUUGGUGCCAUCUAUCGACCACAGGUUAAAGAUUGGCGAUUCGUUGGAUACUGACUGAGUUAUAGGCAAAAGUUGGUGCAAAAAUGAGGAAAAUUUUACAUUUUCUCAAACAGGGUAAGGAACUUGGUUCCUCGAAUAACUUCCGACACAGACAUCUGAGGGCAUGGCCGUCCAAGAAGAAAAUGUAGCCAUUGGUGCCAUCUAUCGACCACAGGUUAAAGAUUGGCGAUCCGUUGGAUACCGACCGAGUAAUAGGCAAAAGUUGGUGCAAAAAUGAGGAAAAUUUUACAUCUUCUCAAACAGGGUAUGGAACUUGGUUCCUCGAAUAACUUCUGGCACAGACAUCUGAGGGCAAGGCCGUUCAUGAAGAAAAUGUAGCCAUUGGUGCCAUCUAUCGACCACAGGUUAAAGAUUGGCGAUCCGUUGGAUACCGACCGAGUUAUAGGCAAAAGUUGGUGCAAAAAUGAGGAAAAUUUUACAUUUUCUCAAACAGGGUAUGGAACUUGGUUCCUCGAAUAACUUCUGGCACAUACAUCUGAGGGCAAGGCCGUCCAAGAAGAAAAUGUAGCCAUUGGUGCCAUCUAUCGACCACAGGUUAAAGAUUGGCGUUCCGUUGGAUACUGACUGAGUUAUAGGCAAAAGUUGGUGCAAAAAUGAGGAUAAGUUUACAUUUUCUCAAACAGGGUAAGGAACUUGGUUCCUCGAAUAACUUCCGACACAGACAUCUGAGGGCAUGGCCGUCCAAGAAGAAAAUGUAGCCAUUGGUGCCAUCUAUCGACCACAGGUUAAAGAUUGGCGAUCCGUUGGAUACUGACCGAGUUAUAGGCAAAACUUGGUGCAAAAAUGAGCCUUAUGAGAUUUUCAAAUUUUUAUAUUUUCUUAAUUUUUUCUGAUUUUUUACACUUUUUUUUAAUUUAAAGCAUUAUUUGAGUGAAAAGAAACUCAUUACAACCAAUUGGCAUUAAAAUAAAUCAAUUUAAUUUUUUUUGCAAAAUUUCUCAAAAAAAUGGCAAGGGGUACCCCUUAUGAAAUUUUCGAGUGGAAAAUUUUUUUGAAAUUUUUUUCUGAUUUUUUAUUCUUUUUUUAAUUUAAAGCAUUAUUUAAGUGAAAAGAAACUUAUUGCAACAAAAUUUGCAUUAAAAUAUAGCAUAUUUAUAAAUUUUGCUAAAUUACUCAAAAAUGAAGAAAAUUUUACAUUUUCUCAAACAGGGUAGGGAACUUGGUUCCUCGAAUAACUUCUGGCACAGACAUCUGAGGGCAAGGCCGUCCAAGAAGAAAAUGUAGCCAUUGGUGCCAUCUAUCGACCACAGGUUAAAGAUUGGCGAUCCGUUGAAUACUGACUGAGUUAUAGGCAAAAGUUGGUGCAAAAAUGAGGAAAAUUUUACAUUUUCUCAAACAGGGUAAGGAACUUGGUUCCUCGAAUAACUUCUGGCACAGACAUCUGAGGGCAAGGCCAUCCAAGAAGAAAAUGUAGCCAUUGGUGCGGGAAGAUUGGAGAUCCUUUGGAUACCGUCCGAGUUAUAGGCAAAACUUGAUGCAAAAAUGAGCCUUAGGAGAUUGGAAAAUUUAUAUUUUUGUUUUAUUUUUUUAUAAUCUUUUAUUCUGUUUUUUAUUUUAAGCAAUAUUUGAGUGAAAAGAAACUUUUUACUAAGUGCAACAAUUU